rnacentral:lncRNA from 13 species
GGGUUGGUGAGUGAAGCCUAUUGCUAGCGAAUCAUGGUAACCAUUUAGAUAACGAUAGCCAUCUAGUUUUCUGUGACCAUCUGACUAGUAUCAACAAGGUCUUUCUACAAUACCAUCACAUUGACUUGAAAAUAAAGCAGCACACAUGGACAUGCAUUGCCAACAAAUGUUACCUUCUGGUUUGGAGAAUUUUAACAAGGCUCAGUGUUUGACAACUUCACAAUCUUUUCUGUGUGAACAUAAAAGAGAUUGACUGCCGACACUGUUCGGAGGUGCUAAAUACUAAUUGGGAGGUAAACAUUUGACAAUCCUACCAGGUGUGUCUGAUCUAUAAUGGAUAUUACCAUCUCUGUCCAAAUAUCUGUACAUAAAACUGUUCAAAUGUGAGGUGCAGCAGAGGAGCUACAGGAGGAUGGGCUUAUUUUCAUGGCUGGAAUGAAAUUGUUGGAACAGAGUUCCCAUUAUGUGUGAUAUGUUUGACUCUGUUCCAUUGAUUCCAUUCCAGCCAUUACAAUGAGCCCGUCCUCCUAUAGCUCUUCCCACCAGCGUCCUCUGGUGUGAUGCUCAUUUUAAAACGUAAACUGCAUUUUGGAACCUUCUGCAUUGGCCUACCUCCGUGUGCACAUUCAUGCACUUAAACAACAACUCCUGUUAAAAAACAAUUGGCUCAAUCUGGAAUGGGUGGGUAGAGUUCACUCUUUAAAACUGUCGGAUUGGUCCAUGAUGUGGAAACUCCACCUCCAGCACACCAGUGCACACCAGCAGACUGAAUUCCAGAGCACCUAAUCGCAAUUGGGAAAUUGAACCAAUGGAAAUGAAGUUAAUUGGCUGACAGCUGUACAUAAUUAGCCAGCCAGGUUAGAAGGUUCUGGGAUUCCUUUAUAAGGUGCAACCAAAACAGCUGUUAGACAUAGCAACAGGGAGAUUCUGGCAGUGUGUCUGGCUAGCAUUAGUUCUGAUUACGGUUGUGCUCACUAAAAUGGCUGUGACUUUUGGACUCUCUUUGAGUGUUUCUUGGCUUUGUUGCCUGCUAAUUGGAGGGAUAAAGUGUUUUCCACUUCAAGGUGAUGCUUAUGGGCAUCCUGCCUGCACUGGACCUGAACCAACUGGAUCCCAAGCAAGUGUGGUGUCUGUUCCAAAUGCUAAAGCUACUGGCACCAAUACUCUGGCAAGUGUGACGCCGGGUCCAAAUGCCACAGCUGAAGCAACUGCCAACCAUGCCUCGGCAGAAGCGGCCCGCGCCUCAGCUGAAGCAACUGCCAACCAUGCCUCAGCAGAAGCGGCUGGCCCCUGCGCCUCAGCUGGAGCAACUGCCAACCAUGCCUCGGCAGAAGCGGCCCACGCCUCAGCUGGAGCAACUGCCAACCAUACCUCGGCAGAAGCAGCUGGCCCCCGCGCCUCAGCUGGAGCAACUGCCAACCAUGCCUCGGCAGAAGCGGCCCGCGCCUCAUCUGGAGCAACUGCCAACCAUGUCUCGUCAGAAGCGGCCGGCCCCCGCGCCUCAGCUGAAGCAACUGCCAACCAUGCCUCUGCAGAAGCGACCGGCCCCCGCGCCUCAGCUGAAGCAACUGCCAACUGUACCUCUGCANNNNNNNNNNCGGCCGGCCCUCGCGCCUCAGCUGAAGCAACUGCCAACCGUACCUCUGCAGAAGCGACCGGCCCCCGCGCCUCAGCUGAAGCAACUGCCAACCAUACCUCUGCAGAAGCGGCCCAUGCCUCAGCUGAAGCAACUGCCAACCGUACCUCUGCAGAAGCGACCGGCCCCCGCGCCUCAGCUGAAGCAACUGCCAACCAUGCCUCUGCAGAAGCGGCCGGCCUUGAACAGACGGCCCGACCCCUCAACAAGCUAGAUAGGGAGAUCAUAAUUUGGUUUGCCCAACUCCUUAAUCGUCUUUCUCCUGUUACUGUGCCUCCAUUUGAAGAAAAGGGCAAAGGUAACUGAGGUGAGGAAUUAUGCAAACUAAUGCUCUUGUUUGAAAUGAGGAUCUCCUUCACUUGCGCAUUGUCAUGCAAAUUGUUUACAGGGGUGAACGCUACAAUGGUAUGAAUUGUUUUCAAAACCAUACGACUAAAAUUUACUUCUGAUUUGGCUACUAUUGCUGACACUUAAGUUGUACGGUUAUGAUUUUUAUGUGUCCUGGUGUUCCUGCUAUUCUUACAUGAUUUGUUCAGUAAACAAUUUGACUUCCAAAAUACCUUGUCUUUUAAAUGUGGGUUUCUCUUCUGCCUACCAUGUGUUUGCUGAUUGGGGACAGACUGGGUCUGGAGAAAAAGGGAUUGUGGAUCACACCACUUGUGGAAACAGAUUUGUUUACCUUUGUUUCUGGUAGUUGAGGAAAAGGUUGACUGCAUUUCUUGUUUUAAUUCCUCAUUGCUUGCAUAGUCAACAUACACACACACACUUACCCCACCAGCCAAGCCACCAGGGGUCUUUUCACAGUCCCCAAAUCCAGAACAAAUCAAACGCACAGUGUUAAAGAGCCAUGAUUGGAUGGAACUCCCUUCCAUUCAGCGCAAGAACAGCAAACUGGGUUUAAAAAACAAAGCAACACCUCACGGCUCAAGGCGUCUCUCCCAUGUGACCUACUGGUGGUGUGUGUGUAACAGAUGCAUAAACACACUUAAAGCAUUAAGAAAUGUAAAUUGCCUAGUGUUUGUUUUUUUUUUGUCAGACCCCAGUAAGACUAGCUUUUGCCAUUGAAAUUGGAUAAUGGGGAUCCUAAAAUAUAUAUUCAACUACCUCUAGCAUUUGAAAAACUACAAAACCCUUUUCUACCCAGGUCUGACCUCCACAGGACACUGGGUGUAAACGAUAGUGAAAUGCUUCCUUGCAAGCUCUUUCCUCAACAGUACAGAAUCAAUAUAAAAGAAGCAGAGGAAUGACUGCAAAUCAUAGCACAGUCCAUUUGUAUGUUCCCAUGGUAGCAAGCAUCUCCAAUCCAAAAUGAAAUCUAGAAUGGGCUUCCUAUCUUGCAACAAACCCAUCCCUCACUCAUGCUGCCAAACACCCUCGUAAAACUGACUAUCCACCAAUCAUUGCCUUCGGCGAUAUCAUUUACAAAAUAGCCUCAAACUCUCAACAAAUUGGAUGCAUUCUAUCACAGUGCCAUCUGUUUUGUCACCAAAGCCCCAUAUACUUUGCACCACUGCGAACUGUACUCUCUCGUUGGCUGGCCCUCGCUUCAUACUUGUUGCCAAACCCACUGGCUCCAGGUCAUCAAGUCGUUGCUAGGUAAAGCCCCGCACUGGUCACUAUAGCAGCACCCAACCGAGGCACGCGCUCCAGCAGGUAUAUUUUACUGGUAACCCCCAAAGCCAAUUCCUCCUUUGGCCGCCUUUCAUUCCAGUUCUCUGCUGCCAGUAACUGAAACGAACUCGCUGUAGACUCUUAUCUCCCUCAUUAACUUCAAGCACCAGCUGUCAGAGCAGCUCACAGAUCAUUGCACCUGUACAUAGCCCAUCUGUAAAUAACCCAUCUAUCUACCUCAUCCCCAUACUGUAUUCAUUUAUUUAUUUUGCUCCUUUGCACCCCAGUAUCUCUACUUGCACAUUCAUCUUCUGCACAUCUAUCACUCCUGUGUUUAAUUGCUAUAUCGUAAUUACCUCAAAACUAUCGCCUAUUUUAUUNNNNNNNNNNCCUCCCAUCUGUCUCUGAACACCAUCCAGUCCCACCCUUCAGUUCCAUUCAACCCCUCCCAUCUAUCUCUCAACACCAUCCAGUCCCUUCAGCUCCAUUCAACCCCUCCCAUCUGUCUCUCAACACCAUCCAGUCCCACCCUUCAGCUCCAUUCAACCCCUCCCACCUGUCUCAUAACACCAUCCAUAUUGGAUUUCUAUUUGCCAUGUAUUUUCCUGAAUGUAUUUGCCAAGUAAGUUCUGAACCUUUCUGUUCUUGUAGUUUCUA